rnacentral:tRNA from 1 species
GGGAGUGUGUCUCAGUGGUAGAGUGCUUGCCUAGCAGGCAUGAAGCCCUGGGUUUGAUUCCCCAGUACCA